rnacentral:rRNA from 1 species
UGGUGGGGUGACUUGUCUGCUUAGUUGCGAUAACGAACGAGACCUUAACCUGCUAAAUAGCCCGCAUUGCUCCGGCAGUGCGCUGGCUUCUUAGAGGGACUUUCGGCUCAAGCCGAAGGAAGUUUGAGGCAAUAACA